rnacentral:rRNA from 1 species
AUGAACGCUGGCGGCGUGCCUAAUACAUGCAAGUCGAGCGAACAGACGAGGAGCUUGCUCCUCUGACGUUAGCGGCGGACGGGUGAGUAACACGUGGAUAACCUACCUAUAAGACUGGGAUAACUUCGGGAAACCGGAGCUAAUACCGGAUAAUAUAUUGAACCGCAUGGUUCAAUAGUGAAAGACGGUUUUGCUGUCACUUAUAGAUGGAUCCGCGCCGCAUUAGCUAGUUGGUAAGGUAACGGCUUACCAAGGCGACGAUGCGUAGCCGACCUGAGAGGGUGAUCGGCCACACUGGAACUGAGACACGGUCCAGACUCCUACGGGAGGCAGCAGUAGGGAAUCUUCCGCAAUGGGCGAAAGCUUGACGGAGCAACGCCGCGUGAGUGAUGAAGGUCUUCGGAUCGUAAAACUCUGUUAUUAGGGAAGAACAAAUGUGUAAGUAACUGUGCACGUCUUGACGGUACCUAAUCAGAAAGCCACGGCUAACUACGUG